UACGUAGGGUGCGAGCGUUAAUCGGACUUACUGGGCGUAAAGCGUGCGCAGGCGGUUUUUUAAGCCCGAUGUGCAAUCCCCGGGCUUAACCUGGGAACUGCAUUUGGAACUGGAAGACUAGAGUACGGCAGAGGGGGGUAGAAUUCCACGUGUAGCAGUGAAAUGCGUAGAUAUGUGGAGGAAGACCGAUGGCGAAGGCAGCCCCCUGGGUCGAUACUGACGCUCAUGCACGAAAGCGUGGCGAGCAAACAGG
rnacentral:rRNA from 1 species